rnacentral:rRNA from 1 species
UCAGGACGAACGCUGGCGGCGUGCUUCAUACAUGCAAGUCGAACGAGAAGCAGUCUUCGGACUGUGGAAAGUGGCGGACGGGUGAGUAAAAUGUAGAGAAUCUGCCCUAGAGCGGGGGAUAGCAGUUGGAAACGACUAUUAAUACCCCAUAUGAGCGUACUUGAGAUAGUAUUCUUGAAAACUCCGGUGCUCUAGGAUGAGUCUGCAUCUGAUUAGCUAGUAGGCGGUGUAAUGGACCACCCAGGCGACGAUCAGUAGCUGGUUUGAGAGGAUGAUCAGCCACAAUGGGACUGAGACACGGCCCAUACUCCUACGGGAGGCAGCAGUAGGGAAUUUUGCGCAAUGGGGGAAACCCUGACGCAGCAACGCCGCGUGAAUGAAGAAGCCCUUCGGGGUGUAAAGUUCUGUCAGUGGGGACGAAACUUGACGGUACCCACAGAGGAAGCAUCGGCUAACUCCGUGCCAGCCGCAGC